rnacentral:misc_RNA from 1 species
AUUACAUUAAAAUUCAAUUCACAGUUUAGUUUUUCGACUUGCUUGUCAUUACACAAUAUUAUUGACGAUCAGAAAAUUGAUGAACUUUGCUCCAACACUCAAAUUGCAUUUGAUUUAUCGUUAUGUGUGAUAGAAAGUUGUAAAUAGUUUAGGGGCAGUUUCUCUAAAAUUCGACACAAGACGGCACACAGAAUGAUUCUGUGCGUGAAAAAAUUUCAGUAACAAUCAAAAUAUAAUUAAAAUAGAAGAUGGUAAAAUAAACCAUUAUGAAAAAUAAUUUUAAAAAAACGUAAAAUAGAAGACCAGCUAUGAACUAAGCGAGGAAGUAUUCAUCCGCAGACAACAUAGAUUGAUAGCUGCGAACUCGCGUGAUAUCCACCGCUGCGGACUCGCUCUGUGUGUCGUCGGUGACCAUAUAGUCCCCCAUAAUCCUCAUAUAAUCCUGAAUCAGUUCCCGAAUCAUGUCCGCAAUGGCUGCCGAUAAACGCGCCUCAUUCGCGCGCCGUGCCGAAAGUUUGGUGGAGCGGAAAUACAAUAUCAGCACGGAGAAAUGCGGAGAUCUUACUGUUGUGGUCCAGGGCGACCUGUCGCAGCAGGAGAAACGCGCCGUUUUCAUUACGGUUCACGACCUAGGCUGCAAUCAUAAUUCCUUCCAGGAGUUCGUGAGCAGCCCCUGCAUGACGGAGAUAAAGGAGCGCUCCUGCUUCAUUCACGUGGAUGUACCGGGACACGCUGACAAUGCCGAUGCCCUGGCCGAUGGCUUCCCAUUUCCCUCGCUCCAGUCCCUGGGCGAGGACUUGGUCACUGUGCUGGACUACCUUCACGUAAAGUACGUGAUUGGCCUUGGCGAGGGCGCCGGUGCCAAUGUCCUGGCCCGCUUCGGUCUGGCCCAUCCCAGCCGGGUGCUCGGCCUGAUCCUGAUCAAUGCCACUGGCAGUGCAGCCAGUGUGCUUCAGUCCUUCAAGAACAAGUUCAUUAGCUGGAAGAGCGACGAGGUGGCCCAGUCUGCUGAGAGCUUUCUGAUGUACCACAAAUUUGGACAUGUUAUGGAGCAAAUCGUGGGCGAGAAUCCGGACAAGGACAAGAUUGUGGCCGAAUACCAGAAGCGUCUGCAUCGCUCCCUAAACAGCAAGAACAUCGGCUUGUAUGUCAAAGCAUUUAUGAAUCGCAAGGACCUUACGCUCAAAGGUUGCAAAGUGGAUGUCAUUCUGAUUACUGGAAUGCUGAGUCCUUAUGCAUCAAUGGUUGAGAAACUGCACCGAGAUGUGGAGAAGGAGAGAGUCACCAUAUUGAAAAUUGAGCGUGCUGGAGAUGUCCUGGCUGAUGCUCCCGGAAAAGUGGCCCAGUCCAUUUUGCUUUUCUGCAAGGGUCAGGGACUACUCACAUCAGUAGUUAUGCCAGGAGUGGAUCGCGGACGGGCCUUCUCCACUGCUAGCUCUGGAUCUUUGGAGGGUGCCAACGGUUCGCGGCGACUUUCGCGGGGCAUUUCAAUGGAAGACUACGACAAGCCCAACAUCCGCCGGCUCAGCAUCAUGAACAGUGAGUUGCCCAAAAAGGAGUAAUCACACCACAGCUACACCUACAGCUACAGCUACAGCUAAAAUGCGGGCAAAACGUACAGCUCCCAGCGUUGUCUGAAAUCGAACAAUUAUGUCAACCCAAAGCCAAACAAUCAUCCCAGAUGUAAUCGCAUAUAAUCUUAGUCGAAUGGUGAUGGACGUCUUAAGCCAAAUUUUAAUUAGCAAUCGCUUCGAAUAUUUAACAAGCAAAAUCAGCAACAAAAACACAUUGUUCAUACUCAAUGAUGGCACACACUCAAGUGGAUGUCGACUCGUUUUUAAACUGUGUAUUUAGGUUUAGUCUUAUGACCCCAAGGAUCCCACCUGUGAAAAUGAAACUAAAGCAAAGCAUUCAUAUCUUAAUCUUCCACUCAAGCGAACUUAGACACAACUGCUAAAUAUUAACUACGAACAAGCAAUCAUCUAUGUAAUACCUCCGAUUAGAAAACUGUACCUAAACGCGUAGAAACUAUGGCGACUCACUUUUAAUUGUGACCCACUAUCCCUAAAAUUUUAUAUCAUUUUUCUGAACAGUCUCAAAUGUUGCUAUUUUAAGAAAACAAAAAUCAUAUAUAAAAAGUUUGAAUAGCAUAAUUUAAAAGCACCUCUAUAAUGGAAAGAGUAAUUAAAAUAUUUAUAAUAAAUGAAGGCACACGGAUUGAAUGUUUACGAGUUGUACGUAAGUGCAAACAAUCAAAAUCAAAAGCAAUUGGAAACCCAAAAAAAAUAUUUUAAUGCAAUGUAGCUCUGCGCCGUUUUUUGAAGCAAGUAUUACAAUUGUUUUAUCUCGCAUUGGCUUUAGCUUAACAUUUAGUAAAGACAUUCAAGUCGACCAAGCACUCAGAUAAAUAGAUGCAACCACACAGUUACAAAAUAAAGUUGAUAAAGAAGGAA